ensembl:lncRNA
GUAGAAGUACACUUAUAUUUCAGUAUUCAAUGAUACUCUGUUCAUGGUGACGAAAUUCACACUAGUAAUCAAUGCUGGAAAUUCCUUAGAGUCAGUCCAACACAUGCUAUUGUAUUUAAUAAUUGGAUUGUGUAUUCAAGGUCAUGCGCUCUUCAUCAUAUGCAGAUACUUACAGAGAAAUUAAACCACCACAAUAAUAUAACUACAAUAUUGUAUGUUUUUCCUGGGGCACAUGGAGCAAAAUGAGAAAAAACAAUCAUAUGGCUCUCAAAUGGAUUUUCCUUCACACGCAGUCAAAAUAUGUCACCGCUCAUUUUUGUGCAAGUUUUUCAAGUUCUGAAGAUUAUGAGUUGAGAAGAAAUGACAGCAGUGGCCUUGGAAAUUGGUUAGAAGACAUGCAAAGAUGUGGUGAUGAUGCUAUGCAGCAAACUGAAAUCAGCCUCUUGUCAAAUUGCACAGCUUGGCACAGCUGUGUGAAAAUUUUUACUACAGAAGAAAACAGCACAGAAAGAUAAAGAAGAAAGGAAGGAUGGAUGCUCCUGCAACCUGAAGACUGGACCAAGAGGCAGCAGAUCAGGAGUGAGCUUUCAUAUUUGCCACAGAGCUCUUAUGUAAGUUUGGAAAGGUCUCUUAGAUGCUGAGCCAGUAAUAUUAACUCAGCACAUCCCACUGACUUCAGUUUCUGGCAAGACUUGAAUCACACAUGACAUCCUAAACUACCAAAUUUUUUCCUGUUACUCUAGCCACGCUACAUAGAAUAAAGCUUUCUUUCAAAGAA